CAAGCCUGAUCCAGCCAUGCCGCGUGUGUGAAGAAGGUCUUCGGAUUGUAAAGCACUUUAAGUUGGGAGGAAGGGCAGUAAAUUAAUACYCUGCUGUUUUGACGUUACCCACAGAAUAAGCACCGGCUAACUCCGUGCCAGCAGCCGCGGUAAUACGGAGGGUGCAAGCGUUAAUCGGAAUUACUGGGCGUAAAGCGCGCGUAGGUGGUUCGUUAAGUCGGAUGUGAAAUCCCCGGGCUCAACCUGGGAACUGCAUUCGAAACUGGCGAGCUAGAGUAUGGUAGAGGGUGGUGGAAUUCCCGGUGUAGCGGUGAAAUGCGUAGAGAUCGGAAGGAACACCAGUGGCGAAGGC
rnacentral:rRNA from 1 species